rnacentral:rRNA from 1 species
GCUUGUCUCAAAGAUUAAGCCAUGCAUGUUCAAGUAUAGCAAGUGUACAGUGAAACUGCGAAUGGCUCAUUAAAUCAGUUAUAAUUUAUUUGAUAGUGAAAUUGUACAUGGAUAACCGUGGCAAUUCUAGGGCUAAUACAUGCGUCAAUGGUCGGUCGACCAGUAUUUAUUAGAUACAAAGCCAGCCGUCAGGAUCAGGUGAAUCAUGAUAACCAAACGAAUCGCAUGGCUUCACGCCGGCGAUGGUUCAUUCAAAUUUCUGCCCUAUCAGCUUUCGAUGGUAGGAUCGAGGCCUACCAUGGCGUUUACGGGUAACGGAGAAUUAGGGUUCGAUUCCGGAGAGGGAGCCUGAGAGAUGGCUACCACAUCCAAGGAAGGCAGCAGG